AUUGAACGCUGGCGGCAGGCCUAACACAUGCAAGUCGAGCGGAGCGGCAGCCGGGGGAGUAAUGCUUAGGUAUCUGCCUGGUAGCGGGGGAUAACGUCCGGUAACGGGAGCUAAUACUGCAUACUAUCAGUUGCGCAUGGAUCGGAUUAGCUAGUUGGUGGGGUAAAGGUAUACCAAGGCGACGAUCCGUAACUGGUCUGAGAGGAUGAUCAGUCACACUGGAACUGAGACACGGUCCAGACGCCUACGGGAGGCAGCAGUGGGGAAUAUUGGACAAUGGGCGAAAGCCUGAUCCAGCCAUGCCGCGUGUGUGAAGAAGGUCUUCGGAUUGUAAAGCACUUUAAGUUGGGAGGCGUUACCAACAGAAUAAGCACCGGCUAACUUCGUGCCAGCAGCCGCGGUAAUUC
rnacentral:rRNA from 1 species